rnacentral:snRNA from 1 species
GAUGACCACAUAAAUCAAGAUAACAUUGGAACGAUACAAAGAGGAUUAGCAUGGCCCUGCACGAGGAUGACACGCACAAAUCAAAAAAUGGUCAAAAAAAUU